UUAGUUUAUAUGCUUAUAAAGACAUUUUUUUUCUAUAAAAAAAGUGGCCAUUUCACUGUUUUCUCAGCCUCCUCCAGAAAUCAAUCCAUUCCAUAAACAGCCUCAGGCAUCGAACCAAAUCAGCGAAAACCCUUUUCAGUUUGCGUGGAACAGAGCCAUCAGCAUCACAGCGUUUCACCGUCUUGAAUAAAUGACCAAAGCAACGCCGGAGACCAGACACACUGUGCGCGAGAGUGAUAUACCUGCAGAAUGCCGUCGAGGUGCGGGCCGGCGACGACCUCCCCCGAGAUGACGACGACGAAGGUGCUGCCCCGGUGGCCCCGGAUGUACGGCCACGCCUCCCGGAACCAGCCGACGAAGCGGCCCCCUUCCUCCGCGUCCGCCGCCGCCCCCGCGGGCGAACCCCCACCUCCGCCUCCGCACCGCACGCCCACGGCGGGGCGCCGGCGCCUCCCGGCCCCGGCGCAGGGGAAGCUCGCCGCCGCGAGCCUCCCGGGGCAGCAGGGCCGCGCCGACCCCGGCACCUCGCCGGCGGCGGCGAGGCGCGCGGAGGCUGAGCCUGCGGAGGCGGCGGCGAGGGACGCCGCCAUCGGCGGGAGCCCGGCCGCCGUUUCUGCGGAGGACGGCGCCUAGUGCUAGUACCACCCUCGGGAUCAGAGGGAAGUGGGGGUUAGGUGGCGCGAACGGGGUGGGCGGGCGUACGGUACGCGGCGAGAAGGGAGCGAGAGGAGGAGC
rnacentral:lncRNA from 1 species